CUGCUUAACACAUGCAAGUCGAACGAGCUCUUCGGAGCUAGUGGCGGACGGGUGAGUAACACGUGAGAAUCUACCCUUAGGAGGGGGAUAACAGCUGGAAACGGCUGCUAAUACCCCAUAUGCCGCAAGGUGAAAUCUUUUUUGGCCUGAGGAUGAG
rnacentral:rRNA from 1 species